AUGUUAAUAUGGCUAAAAUGGUGUGCUCUUCGUAAUGUCUGUUUGGUUCAUUUGAUGUUUCAUUUGGAAUCUUGUUGACCUGCAAACACGCAAUGGGGCUGGGUUUUGUUACAAGAGACAAACGUAAUGUUUGUAACUGAAUACCAGUUAUCACAUUGACAUCUAUAGAAAAAUUGCCAUUUAAUUACCAGAGCUGUGCCCCAGAUGUGAAGCG